AGAGGAGUGGCGGACAGUUGAGUAACACGUGGGUAACCUACCCAUCAGAGGGGGAUAACACUUGGAAACAGGUGCUAAUACCGCAUAACAGUUUAUGCCGCAUGGCAUAAAAGUGAAAGGCGCUUU
rnacentral:rRNA from 1 species